GCGCUGAAACACAAGCAAGUGGAAAAGAGAGAGGUCAGAAAAGAACUUUCUUGCCGGUAGUGCACGCGUGCGUGCGAGCGCGUGUGUAUCGGUGGGUGAAUGUGGACAAACGUCCUCUGUCGUCCCUUCCUCUCCCACCCGUGUCCCCACCCUAUCCAGCCCCCCUCGCGUGCCCCACCAGUGUCCCAAGCUCCGGGUACUCCCACCCCCGCACACUCUCGUCUUUCUCCGUUCGUGUCGUGUCUCCCUUUCUCGCGGUUCGAUUUCUUUCUCUCUCUCUUUCCCCUUCGUCCGGUCGUCCCCUCGAGCGGACUCGGGUGUCCCCCUGUCCCCCACCGCCGGUCUGUCCUUCUCUCUCCGGUUCUGUCUCCGGUAUCGUCGAGGCAACCUAGGGUCGCCGUGGCACCGAGGGUACUUACUUACCCCCAUCCGUCCUCGCGACCGGACCUACCGUCUCCCACUCCCAAUCGACCCUACUACUAGCACCGCCAGCGUCAUUUCUACCACUACCAUUGCUACUACCACUAUCGUUUACUACUACCACACCAACGUCGCCGUCGUCAGUCCGGUACCACCACUAGUGCUGUGCCACCACUAUACGCCGAGUUAUACGAGGACGACCGCGAUGAGUCGCGCGGCGUCCUCCCCUCCAUCCGGAUUUUCUCAUGAGACUCCGGCAUCCAUCAACCUGCUGCUGCCGCCGCCGUCGUACCGUCUCGACUUGUACGAGGACCAUCCGCACGCUACCGGCGCGGCGCGGCAAGAAGAGAGCAACAGUAUUCUCGUUUAGCCAGGUGAAGAAUUACGACGCGAUGUCACCGAACAACAUUGGGGGAUGACAAAAGAAGGCUGGAAAACGAAAGGGGGGGCGGCUGGUGUCACGGCAAGAAACGGCGGGUCGCGCGCGUGCAACAAGUGGUAGAUGCGAAAGAGAGAUCGACGGAUGUCAAGUCGUGGGGAAAUAAAAAAGUCGCCCUUAUCCUCGCGGGGCGGGCUAAUAAAGGUCCGUGACAACAAGCGACAAGAGGGUUCGCCCGGAACUCGGGAGGGAAGAACGGCAGGAAGCACAGAACGAGAGGCUUAAAAUACCGUCGAGUCGGCACAAUGGAAUUUUAUCGAGGCACCUCCGGCCUUUUUUUCUCUCCCUCCACCGCUCUCUUCCUUUUCUUUCUCUCUCUCUUUCUCUUCCUCUACCUCUCGUUUCGCGGUAAUUCGACCUAUCGUGCGCGUAAGCAGAUAAAGCUUCGCGUCAAGCGGAAGAUAAAAAUUUUUUCCAGUUUUCUCGCGGAGCUCCGAAUUACACGUGGAAAUACGACAGGAAAAGUUACACGAGUGCAUGUCAGCUCACACGCAAGAUUAUUAAUUGUACAAAAGCAUGAUCAAUAGAAUGGAGAUCUGUUAUCGAUCGUAGCCUGUUGAAACAUGUUAUAUAAUUCUCGUCUUUUAUCGAACGAAAGAGAGAUUGCAAUUAAGACUAAAAGUAAAGAGAUAUCGCUUUUCGAUCACGAAGUUACUAACGGUCAACGCGAUAAAUGCCCAUUAUAAAACUACGAUAAUUCGAUGCGUAUUUUUUAACUUGCCGUCAAUCGGCGAGAUAAAAAUAUCUACGACUUUCAUUGCAAAGAGUUUAUCUCGAAACCGCCGUGAACGCGAGGUUGUAACGUCCGACGAUAGGGUGAGGGCAAAAAUGCAGGAUCCGCAAUUCCUCGAUGCAUCCUCAAACGGUUCUCGAUCCAUCCGGGUGCACCGGUGAAACUUCUAGUUGCCAAUGCGAUCGGAUCUCUCUUUCGGGGGAGGAGCGGCGUGGUACUGGCGGAUGCUAGCCGUAUACGCGGAUGCCGAUGCGUACGCGGACGCUCGGGAAAAAAAGCAAGGAAGUUCCGCAGGAGGAGAUCGACCGAUUUAAUUAAUUCCACCGAUCCGUAGGCUUUGAUCCCGCCACCGACGGAAUAUCGUGAGUUCACCACGACGGAAAACAAAUAUACGAAGUCCGACGCGGCGUAACUCCCGGCCUGCUUAACAUUACGUAAAAACCAAUUACGUGGGAAUGCUUCUGUUGAUUGGUAUCAGAGAUGGCCCCCGGUAGUGGCGCUCGAACGUAAGCUUGGGAUUGAAAAUACCCGUCGGGGCUGAGGGGAGAAGGGGAGGAGGAGUGGAGGAUCGCGUUGGUCGAAAUGUAUCCGAUGUCAAGAGAAGCGACUGAAGGAUCACCGUCCGUCGGGGAGAGAGCGGCGGCGAACCUGCAAUGGGUGUCCAAGGGGGUUAAACGAGAAUAUGUUGCAUGGCACGUGUCACUUUGAAGCGCGUCCGUGGGGAGGACUCGCGUAUCACCGGACAGAAAUUUUUCAGCAAACCUCGUUAAGUUUUCAUUUGCCAAAUGCAGACGGCAUCGGUCCGACUCCUGGCUGGACGGCUAGGACUGUAACGCCGCCAGCAAUUACCGCGCCCCUUUUUUUUCACCCUCGCGAUAUCGACCGCGCGCGCAACUCCUAUUACAUAUGCGAGCGCGGAUACAGCGUUUAACUCACAGAGAGAGAGAGACGCGUGUCUUAGUGAUUUCAAAAAACAUGCAAUUAACGUCCUUAAUGAAGAGUUUAAUGAGAGAGAAAGAGAGAGACAAAUUAAUCUCGAACCUCGUACAAUAUCAUAUUUCAAAUGUAGAGAACGUAAAGUGUGCAAAACUCAAGACAACGGUUUCACUAAAAUUUUACAACAGUGUACAAGAUUAAUACUAGAACGCACCAGAAUUGAAGUAAACUGGCAAAGUCUAAUAAAGAAAGUUACAACGAAGUUGCUUCACUUGGAGCGAACUGUCGGAGACUUUCCUUCGGACCCGGAGUAUACCUCCGCCUAAGUAAACAGGAAAGUGAAGCUAAAACUAGCCGCGAAGUGCGGCCGGAUCCAGAUAUUAAAUCAAUUCGAGUGUGUAAAUACAUCCUUGCGCUUACGUAUCGCGGACGCGUACUCGAGGAUCGAAGGAGCGACAGAGACGAGAAAGGGAGAGGGGCGGAGGGGAUCGUUACUGUCCACAGAUACAGAGAGUAUGUACCCGAAACCGUAAACGGAGUUCGGACAAACCCCCCGGAUAACCGCCGGGAGGGUGCGCCCGACGACCUUCCUGUGAUCGGCGUUCCGUGUAAUCGCCAAGUAUGCAGAUGAUUAAAUUUGCAACAUCAUCGCGGCAACCCUAAAGGCUCGGUAAAGGGCUGCAGCCAACGGCUAAGCCUUGAUACGAGGAGUUUGACUCCGUGGUUUAAGGGAGGAGCCAACGUCUUCCGGGUCUAAGAUUUCGGGUAUUUUGUUAACGCAAGAAACAGACUUUGUGAGACUGUACGUCACAAAGGGUCGGAUGUCCUGGGAGAAUUGCCAAACGUAAUUCUCGUAUCAUGAUGACGAGUUUUACCAUGCAAUCCUUAUUGCAAUCUGUGUGUUUUUUUUUUAGGUGUUUUUCUCCUAUUUAUAGACUAUUAUAGAUAUAUUUGUAAAAAAAUAUCUUAAUAAAUUGAUAAUAUUACCUAUAUACUACAAUAUAA